UACGUAGGGGGCAAGCGUUGUCCGGAAUCAUUGGGCGUAAAGAGCGUGUAGGCGGCCAGAUAAGUCCGCUGUGAAAUCUCGAGGCUCAACUUCGAGCUGUCGGUGGAAACUGUCUGGCUAGAGUCCGGAAGAGGAGAAUGGAAUUCCUGGUGUAGCGGUGAAAUGCGCAGAUAUCAGGAAGAACACCCGUGGCGAAGGCGUUUCUCUGGGCCGUAACUGACGCUGAGACGCGAAAGCGUGGGGAGCAAACAGG
rnacentral:rRNA from 1 species